GGAAUAUUGGUCAAUGGAGGCAACUCUGAACCAGCCAUGCCGCGUGCAGGAUGACGGUCCUAUGGAUUGUAAACUGCUUUUGUACAGGAAGAAACCGCUCUACGUGUAGAGCCUUGACGGUACUGUAAGAAUAAGGAUCGGCUAACUCCGUGCCAGCAGCCGCGGUAAUACGGAGGAUCCAAGCGUUAUCCGGAAUCAUUGGGUUUAAAGGGUCCGUAGGCGGCUUAGCAAGUCAGUGGUGAAAUCUCCCCGCUCAACGGGGAAACGGCCAUUGAUACUACUAGGCUUGAAUUAUUAGGAAGUAACUAGAAUAUGUAGUGUAGCGGUGAAAUGCUUAGAUAUUACAUGGAAUACCAAUUGCGAAGGCAGGUUACUACUAAUUGAUUGACGCUGAUGGACGAAAGCGUGGGGAGCGAACAGGAUUAGAUACCCCUG
rnacentral:rRNA from 1 species